GAUGAAGAACGUAGCGAAAUGCGAUACGUAAUGUGAAUUGCAGAAUUCAGUGAAUCAUCGAAUCUUUGAACGCAUAUUGCGCUCUCUGGUAUUCCGGAGAGCAUGCUUGUUUGAGUAUCAGUAAACACCUCAACUCCCUUUUCUUUUUUGAAAUUGGAGCUGGACUUGAGUGAUCCCAACGCUUUCUUCCAAGAAAGUGGCGUGUUGCUUGAAAUGCAGGUGCAGCUGAACUUUUCUCUGAGCUAUAAGCAUAUCUAUUUAGUCUGCCUAAAAAACAGAUUAUUACCUUUGCUGCAGCUAACAUAAAGGAGACUAGUUCUUGUGCUGACUGAUGCAGGAUUCACAGAGACAGCUUCGGCUGACUUUGUAAACUCGAUCUCAAAUCAAGUAAGACUACCCGCUGAACUUAAGCAUAUCAAUAAGCGGAGGA
rnacentral:misc_RNA from 1 species